ACCUAAUAGAUACCCUGGUAGUCCACGCCCUAAACGAUGCGAACUGGAUGUUGGGUACAUUACGGUACUCAGUGUCGAAAGCUAAACGCGUUAAGUUCGCCGCCUGGGGAGUACGGUCGCAAGACUGAAACUCAAAGGAAUUGACGGGGCCGGCACAAGCGGUGGAGUAUGUGGUUUAAUUACGAUGCAACGCGAAGAACCUUACCUGGCCUUGACAUCUGUCGAAUCCUGCAGAGAUGCGGGAGUGCCGCAAGGAACGACAAGACAGGUGCUGCAUGGCUGUCGUCAGCUCGUGUCGUGAGAUGUUGGGUUAAGUCCCGCAACGAGCGCAACCCUUGUCCCUAGUUGCCAGCACAUCAUGGUGGGAACUCUAGGGAGACUGCCGGUGACAAACCCGGAGGAAGGU
rnacentral:rRNA from 1 species